rnacentral:rRNA from 1 species
CGCGAAGAACCUUACCUGGGCUUGAAAGUUAGCGACCGACUCCGAAAAGAGUCUUUCAGAAAUGACGCGAAACUAGGUGCUGCAUGGCUGUCGUCAGCUCGUGCCGUGAGGUGUUGGGUCAAGUCCCGCAACGAGCGCAACCCCUAUUCUUAGUUGCCAUCAGGUUAUGCUGGGGACUCUAAGAAGACUGCCCGCGCAAGCGGUGAGGAAGGUGGGGAUGACGUCAAGUCAUCACGGCCC